UACAGAGGGUGCGAGCGUUAAUCGGAAUUACUGGGCGUAAAGGGCGCGUAGGCGGUUUUAUAAGUUGACUGUGAAAGACGAGGGCUUAACCCUUGGGAGUCAGUCAAGACUAUAAGACUUGAGUAGGAGAGAGGUGAGUGGAAUUUCCGGUGUAGCAGUGAAAUGCGUAGAUAUCGGAAAGAACAUCAGUGGCGAAGGCGGCUCACUGGCUCCAUACUGACGCUGAGGCGCGAAAGCGUGGGGAGCAAACAGG
rnacentral:rRNA from 1 species